GAUCCUGGCUCAGGAUGAACGCUAGCUACAGGCUUAACACAUGUAAGUCGAGGGGCAGCAUGAACUUAGCUUGCUAAGUUUGAUGGCGACCGGCGCACGGGUGAGUAACACGUAUCCAACCUUCCCGUUACUCUGGAAUAGCCUUUCGAAAGAAAGAUUAAUACCGGAUAGUAUCGAGAGAUUGCAUGAUUACCCGAUUAAAGAUUCAUCGGUAACGGAUGGGGAUGCGUUCCAUUAGGCAGG
rnacentral:rRNA from 1 species